rnacentral:tRNA from 1 species
AGCUUAUUAGCACAAUAGGUAACUUGUCAGUCUCAAAAUCUGAAGUUAGUGAGUUCGAUCCUCACAUGGGGUA